CAGCCGCCGCGGUAAAACGGAGGGGGCUAGCGUUGUUCGGAAUUACUGGGCGUAAAGCGUACGUAGGCGGUUUUGUAAGUUAGAGGUGAAAGCCCGGAGCUCAACUCCGGAAUUGCCUUUAAGACUGCAUCACUUGAACGUCGGAGAGGUGAGUGGAAUUCCGAGUGUAGAGGUGAAAUUCGUAGAUAUUCGGAAGAACACCAGUGGCGAAGGCGGCUCACUGGACGCGUAUUGACGCUGAGGUGCGAAAGCGUGGGGAGCAAACAGGAUUAGAUACCCGAGUAGUCCCUGUCUCUUAUAC
rnacentral:rRNA from 1 species